GAGUUUGAUCCUGGCUCAGGAUGAACGCUGGCGACGUGGAUAAGGCAUGCAAGUCAAACGGGAAACUUUGCGAUUACAUCAAAAAUUUUCUAGUGGCAAACGAGGUAGUAACACGUGGGUAACAUUCCCUUUAGUCAGGAAUAACUAAUCGAAAGAUUAGCUAAUACUUGAUAGUCUCUUCGGAGUAAAGAUUUAUCGCUAAAGGAUUGGCUCGCGGGAUAUCAGCUAGUUGGUAGUGUAAUGGACUACCAAGGCUAUGACGUCUAGGGGAGCUGAGAGGCUGGCCCCCACCGAUGGAACUGAGACACGGUCCAUACACCUACGGGUGGCUGCAGUCGAGAAUCUUCCGCAAUGGGCGAAAGCCUGACGGAGCGACGUCGCGUGGUUGAUGAAGUCCUUCGGGAUGUAAAGACCUUUUAUGUGGGAGAAAGUUAUUGAUAGUACCACAUGAAUAAGGGGUUGCUAAACUCGUGCCAGCAGCAGCGGUAAUACGAGUGCCCCAAGCGUUAUCCGGAAUUAUUGGGUGUAAAGGGUGCGUAGGUGGUUUUGUUAGUCUUGUGUUAAAACCCGGAGCUUAACUCCGGAUCUGCACAAGAAACGGCAAAACUAGAGGGUGUGAGAGGUCUGUAGAACUCAUGGUGUAGGGGUGAAAUCCGUUGAUAUCAUGGGGAAUACCAAAAGCGAAGGCAGCAGACUGGCACAUUCCUGACAUUGAGGCACGAAAGCGUAGGUAGCGAAUGGGAUUAGAUACCCCAGUAGUCUACGCCCUAAACGAUGUUCAUUUGCUUUUCGGAGUAUCGACCCUCUGAGAGGCGUAGCUAACGCGUUAAAUGAACCACCUGGGUAGUACGAUCGCAAGAUUAAAACUCAAAGGAAUAGACGGGGACUUGCACAAGCAGUGGAUUAUGUGGUUUAAUUCGAUGAUAAACGAAAAACCUCACCAGGGUUUGAAACCUACAUGAAAGCUCCGAGAAACCGGAGCCCUCGCAAGACUAGUAGGCAGGUGCUGCAUGGUCGUCGUCAGUUCGUGGUUUGAAUUGUUCCCUUCAGUGGGGUAACGAACGCAACCCUCGUCGUGUGUUACAAGUGUCACACGAGACUGCCCCCGCUUUAGCUCAUAAGCCGUUGGUGCGCAUUGUAUUUGCCUUGGCAUUUGCAUUGCGUCCCAACGAACAAGCUUCUUUUAUUCUCAGUCUCCACAGCCUAAUUAUCAUUUCGGCAACGAAAUUGAUAAUUAGUGCGAGGACCGGAUGAGAAUAAAAGAAGGUUGUGAGUUGAAGUGGGGGAGGAAGGCGAGGAUGACGCCAGAUCAGCAUGGCCCUCUGAUACCCUGGGCUACACACAUAAUACAAUCGCAGUUACAACGCGACGCAAUGGGGCGACCCGGAGCAAAUCGUCAGAAAAACUGCGCCAGUUCGGAUCGAAGUCUGCAACUCGACUUCGUGAAGCCGGAAUUGCUAGUAAUCGCAGGUCAGCUAUACUGCGGUGAAUACGUUCUCAAGUCUUGUACACAC
rnacentral:rRNA from 1 species